UCUCAGCCUCCCAAAGUGCUGGGAUUAUAGGUGUGUGCCGUGACACCCAACCUACUUUCUUCCCUUAUGGUGUCCCCUCUCUCGGGGCUACUGUGCAUUGUUGCCUGGUGUCUAGUAUCUUGAAAACACAUUUUGUUCUCUCUUUUAGUUGUGAGUGGGAGGGAAACCCCUACCUGGUCUCCAUUGCUGGAAUAGGAGGUCCUCUGGACUCACCAUGCUUCGUUGAAAAUUUCAGGACUUGCUCACCAGAGUGGAAGGAGUCAACUACCCAGACACCCAUUGGCUCUGAACAGCCUCCAAAGACACUGUGUCAUACAAAACAAGACUAUGUGCUUCUGUUACUGUGUCCCUUCCUUUUGUACCAUCAUAUCCUAGUGUACUUUGAUAACUGCAGUGUAUUCCUUCUCCACUUCCCUCAGACUCUCCCAGCAUUUGGGUGCAUUCCAGAGGAUCCCAGUGAUUUUUUUGGCAAUUAUUGCUAAUGUUUGCAUGUCAAGUUUAAUAAGAAAAUCUUCAGGCUUUCAUCCAAAACAGUAGUUCCCUUUUCAUAUCUUAGCCCAGACCCUUUGCUUUCCCCUCCACCUAUCCUCAGAUCCUGUCCCCUUCCAUCUCCUUGUCCUGCAGACUCACAGUUGGUAAGGGAUGCCAUACCAUACCUAUGAUGCCAGAAUGUUCUCCCACCUAGGAACAACUAUUGAAUCUGGAGAAGGAAUGACAUACUUUGUCCCCAUCUCUGAUGGCUGUCCUUUGUACCAGUCGACCUUCCAGCUGGAUGUAGCCAGCCAAGACCUGACCUUGUACCUCCUACAACUAUUGACAGAGAGGGGGAACUUGUUAGUAAGCACAGCUGACCAAGAGUACAUCCGGAAUGUGAAAGAGAAAUGCUAUGUGGCACUGGACUUUGACAAGGAGAAGGUGGAAGACAGCAAUCCAUCUUCCUGCCUACAGAAAUUCCAGCUUCCUGAUGGACAGGAGAUCAGCCUUGGGCAGGGGGCUUUCCUCUGUCCUGAGGCACUCUUCCAGACAAACCUCAUAGGGAGAACCACCCUGGGGAUCCACGGAUGGCCAUGCAGUGCAUCACCUUCUGCAACCCCUCUCUCUGGAAGACCCUCUUUGGCCACAUCAUCCUAUCCAGAGGCACAGGCUCCUGCUCUGGCUUGCGAUUAAGAUUGCAGAGAGAACUAACAGGACUGGCUUCCCCUACUAUAGAUGUGAAGGUGCCAACCUCUCCCUAUGCCAAGUGUGGUGCCUGGGUAGGCGGCUCCAUCUUGUUCUCCUUGUCAACUUUCAAGGAUAUGUGGGUCACCAGCAGUGAGUACAGGGACGUUGGCUGCUCCAUCAUCAGUAGAAGAAGCUUCUAAGUUGGGGCUCUCUGGGUCCCGCCACCUUUGUCAUCAAUGGCAAAUCCAGGCCAAGCUUCACCUGAAUCAAUCAAUGCUCAGGACCAGCUUGCACGCAAGGCCCUUCCUCCCUAGAUGUCAAUAAAGAUGAAAUAGGAAGGACUCUGUGUCUGUCUGGGCAGGUCCACAGCAUCUGAGGACUCUCACAACAUUAGUGCAAAGGGGAUUUCUGGUCCUCUCCAUGUAUCAGUCAGAAUGGCUCAGUGACACUGCUGCAGUGACAAACAUCCCCAGAUAGCAGAGCCAUAGACAGAGUCUGGCCCUCACUCUUGCUUCUUGUCUCCUCAAAGUCAACAAAUCCUUUCUGCAUCAUCCCAUUCUGAACCUGCUAACAGAGCAGAUAGACCAUCAGGGGCUCUGUCACUCACGGUGGGUGCCUCAGCCAUUUUU